GCCUGUUAGGGUUCCAGGCCUAAACAUGAAGAGAACUGCUGGGCCAGAGGGCAAUUCCACAAAGGGUGAGAGGUUUCUGAAGCUUUGUUUUUGACAUGUACGUCUAUAAUCUACCAUCUCUGCAUCAUUAAGUUUGAAAGGAUUAUUCCUCUCAUUCCUGCUGAACAUUUUUUAAGAUGAGGAAACCGAGUCUCAGGAUGAGUGAGCCCCCAACGGCACAGUGCUAGCGUGACUCAGAGGACUUGAACCCUGG